rnacentral:rRNA from 1 species
UUUUGGACAAUGGGGGCAACCCUGAUCCAGCCAUGCCGCGUGGGUGAAGAAGGCCUUCGGGUUGUAAAGCCCUUUCGGCGGGGACGAAAUCGCGGGGGUGAGAAGCCUUCGUGGAUGACGGUACUCGCAGAAGAAGCACCGGCUAACUACGUGCCAGCAGCCGCGGUAAUACGUAGGGUGCGAGCGUUAAUCGGAAUUACUGGGCGUAAAGCGUGCGCAGGCGGCCCUUUAAGUCAGGUGUGAAAGCCCUGGGCUUAACCUAGGAAUGGCGCUUGAAACUGGGGGGCUAGAGUGCGGCAGAGGGGGGUGGAAUUCCUGGUGUAGCGGUGAAAUGCGUAGAGAUCAGGAGGAACACCGAUGGCGAAGGCAGCCCCCUGGGUCGACACUACGUCAGCACAAA